CCCUUAGAUGUCCUGGGCCGCACGCGCGCUACACUGAUGCAUGCAACGAGUUUAUAACCUUGGCCUGAAAGGUCUGGGUAAUCUUUUGAACGUGCAUCGUGAUAGGGAUAGAUUAUUGCAAUUGCUAAUCUUGAACGAGGAAUUCCUAGUAAACGCGAGUCAUCAGCUCGCAUUGAUUACGUCCCUGCCCUUUGUACACACCGCCCGUCGCACCUACCGAUUGAAUGGUUCGGUGAAGAUCUCGGACUUCGAUAUUUAUUCUUUAUUGAGUUUAUAUUGUGGGAAGUUAUCUAAACCUCAUCAUUUAGAGGAAGGUGAAGUCGUAACA
rnacentral:rRNA from 1 species